CCUACGGGUGGCAGCAGUGGGGAAUAUUGCGCAAUGGGGGAAACCCUGACGCAGCAACGCCGCGUGAGUGAAGACGUAUCUCGGUAUGUAAAGCUCUAUCAGCGGGGAAGAAGGAAGACGGUACCCGACUCAGAAGCCCCGGCUAACUACGUGCCAGCAGCAGCGGUAAUACGUAGGGGGCAAGCGUUAUCCGGAUUUACUGGGUGUACAGGGAGCGCAGACGGCGAGGCAAGCCAGGAGUGAAAGCCCGGGGCCCAACCCCGGGACUGCUCUUGGAACUGCGUGGCUGGAGUGCAGGAGGGGCAGGCGGAAUUCCUGGUGUAGCGGUGAAAUGCGUAGAUAUCAGGAGGAACACCGGUGGCGAAGGCGGCCUGCUGGACUGCAACUGACGUUGAGGCCCGAAAGCGUGGGGAGCAAACAGGAUUAGAUACCCCAGUAGUC
rnacentral:rRNA from 1 species